rnacentral:misc_RNA from 1 species
UUUCCGUAGGUGAACCUGCGGAAGGAUCAUUAAAGAAUUGCCCCGUCUUCUCGAAGAUGGGUUCUAUUCCAAACCGUGUUUACAUACCUUUGUUGCUUUGGCGGGCCGCCGUUUCGGCGUUGGCUCCGGCUGACUGCGCCCGCCAGAGAACCACAACUCUUUUGUUUAGUAAUGUCUGUGUACUAUAUAAUAGUUAAAACUUUCAACAACGGAUCUCUUGGUUCUG